rnacentral:lncRNA from 1 species
GGAGAGUGCAUAAUUUCUUGAGCAAUCAGUAGAUUUUAGAUGAUAUUACGAUUUGACACAAACGCAUCCUGUUCCUUAGAUAUGAGAUAUGGCAAAAAUUUUUAAGCCGGUCAACUAGAAUCUUCGUAAUAAUCUUAUACACAGUGGUACAUAAAUUAAUGAAAUGAUAAUCACUCAGAACCUGAAGAUUAUAUUAGUCUUUUUUUGGGGAUCAAAAUAAUAAAAAUUUUGGUCCA